UAACAGGAUUCCCCUAGUGACUGCGAGUGAAGCGGGAAAAGCUCAAAUUUAAAAUCUGAUGGCUCCCUUGGUCAUCCGAGUUGUAAUUUAGAGAAGCGCUUUCCGCGCUGGGCCGUGCACAAGUCUCCUGGAAUGGAGCGUCAUAGAGGGUGAGAAUCCCGUCUUUGGCACGGAUGCACCAGGGCUUAUGUGAUGCGCUCUCGAAGAGUCGAGUUGUUUGGGAAUGCAGCUCAAAAUGGGUGGUGAACUCCAUCUAAAGCUAAAUAUUGGCGAGAGACCGAUAGCGAACAAGUACCGUGAGGGAAAGAUGAAAAGCACUUUGGAAAGAGAGUGAAACAGUACGUGAAAUUGUUGAAAGGGAAACGCUUAAAGUCAGUCGCGUCGACCGAGACUCAGCCUUGCCUCGGCUUGGUGUACUUCUCGGCUUGACGGGUCAGCAUCAAUUUUGCCCCUCGGAUAAUGGCAAGGGAAAGGUGGCACCUUUAUGGGUGUGUUAUAGUCUCUUGUCGCAUGCGAGGGUCGGGAUUGAGGAACUCAGCACGCGCCUCGGUGUCGGGGCCUUUUUGGCUCACGCUACGUGCUUAGGAUGUUGGCGUAAUGGCUUUAAACGACCCGU
rnacentral:rRNA from 1 species